rnacentral:rRNA from 1 species
GAGUUUGAUCGUGGCUCAGAUUGAACGCUGGCGGCAGGCUUAACACAUGCAAGUCGAGCGGGGGAGAUUGCUUCGGUAAUUGACCUAGCGGCGGACGGGUGAGUAAUACUUAGGAAUCUGCCUAUUAAUGGGGGACGAACAUCUCGAAAGGGAUGCUAAUACCGCAUACGCCCGUACGGGGAAAGGACGAGGGGAGUCACUUGUGACCUUGCGUUAAUAGAUGAGCCUAAGUCGGAUUAGCUAGUU